rnacentral:rRNA from 1 species
GACGAACGCUGGCGGCGUGCCUAAUACAUGCAAGUAGAACGCACAGUUUAUACCGUAGCUUGCUACACCAUAAACUGUGAGUUGCGAACGGGUGAGCAACGCGUAGGUAACCUGCCUGGUAGCGGGGGAUAACUAUUGGAAACGAUAGCUAAUACCGCAUAAUAUUGAUUAUUGCAUGAUAAUUGAUUGAAAGAUGCUAUUGCAUCACUACCAGAUGGACCUGCGUUGUAUUAGCUAGUAGGUGAGGUAACGGCUCACCUAGGCGACGAUACAUAGCCGACCUGAGAGGGUGAUCGGCCACACUGGGACUGAGACACGGCCCAGACUCCUACGGGAGGCAGCAGUAGGGAAUCUUCGGCAAUGGACGAAAGUCUGACCGAGCAACGCCGCGUGAGUGAAGAAGGUUUUCGGAUCGUAAAGCUCUGUUGUAAGAGAAGAACGGGUGUGAGAGUGGAAAGUUCACACUGUGACGGUAUCUUACCAGAAAGGGACGGCUAACUACGUG